AUAUAUAUAUUCCCAUCUCAAAAAAAAAGCUCAUGGUGUUUCCCAGUUUUAUGUGAAAAUUGUUGUUUUUUUGCAGAAAUCAGCAACCCCACCCCAUUGAUAACAUAAAGAGUAAACCUUUAAGUUGCAACUUCAUCACCACCUGUAGCCAUAUCAUCUCUGGAGUGUUAUUGGAAUUUUGAAUAUUUUCAAAGCCUGAUCAAAUCAUCAUACCAAGCAACAAAAAUCGGUAGGUAAUAAUUAGAGAAACUUUUCUUGAAACAUAUUUUAAAGUUAAACAAUAAAUCACAAACCUUGCUCUAUCUUCAAGAUUUUGAGAACUGGCUAUGGCAGCCUGCAUAUGAAAAUGUUACUGAAUUCUAGUAGAAAGAUAGAGAAGGAGGGGCGAGUGGUGGACCAAAAUUCUAAAUCUAGUACCAUGAAUUCAAUGAAUGCGUGUCGCCAACAGCCAAACAAUGGAUUUAAUUAGUCAAACUUUGACAUCCAACAUGACACUUCCAUAUAAAUAUCAACUUAUUAGGACAUGUGAGCUUUAAUAAGACAGAACCAAUAAAUUAUGUUAGUACACUAUGUAGUAUUCUUUUUCAUAUUGGAAAAUCCAAAUCUAUAAGCAAACAAAAAUGCGAAGAAAAACAGAUAAUUCUAUCCCCAGUUGGACAUCCUUUUGGAAGAAAGAUUUAUUGUUCCAGAAAAAAUUUAAACCAAAUUUGGCUCAUAACACUCGUAUACAAACUUUAGCCGAGAUGAAAUUGAAAAACCCAAAACAGCACAUACCUUAAGCUUCAACGAUGUCAAAAAGCUGAACGAUCUCGAUUCCACAAAUAUCUUGGAGUAACGUUAGGGUAUCGGGAUGAACUAAAAUGACCUGCAAAUUAAGGAUACUGGAUAAUUAAAGAUGUCUUUCCAACCAUGUAAUCAUUCAACAAACACCAGUAAACAUCGUAAUUGACCUCAAAUCAGUGAUUACAAUAUUAAUUACAUUACAUAUAUGGAAAAUCAAGGAGUUAGAUAGACAAACCUGCUAUUGCCAAGGAUUAUGACUUUGAGAGGCAUACUACGAUGGCAACACUUAUUCAGGGGUGAGAGGUGGUAUGUGAUGAUAUCUAGUUGUGGUGAACAGCGUAGGGAGGCAGAUGCUAGGGCUUCUAGUAUAUCAUGAAGGUGUUGCUGGUGAGGGAAAGUAAUGGUUGAUGGUUUAAAGUUAGAAUGAUUGAAAUAAUGGUUGAAGGCGGUGUUAUUUGGCUACUACUUUUAGGUUUUUGGAUUGAACUUGGAAGAGAUAGACAUAGAAGAUGGCAAAAGGAAGUGCUUGGGGUCAGAUCGACAAAAAUAGAUCGAUAUAGAUGAAGCAGUGUCGCAUCGGAAAUAUUGUGAAAGAUAAGAGCGGGUAUUGCAUCGGAGAAGUGUGCUGGGAUGGAAAGGAUCUAUGGGUGAAGGCGGCUUGGAGAGAUCCGGUGGGGAUCAUAGAUAGGGAUAUAAAUGUAGGGAGACCACCGGAAAGAACUGACGAAGGGGUGAUAGACUUUAGGGCUAUACGACUUUGAGAGACAUUGGCAGCCAUGUUUCGGGAGGUGAGUGGUGGUGAAGAUUAUCUGCUAUGGAAGAGAGAAGAAGAAGAGUUGUGGUAGUGGUGGCUACGUUAGAGCAUCCGGUACAUUGCACGAAUCGGUCCGUGGUCUACUUGGCCACGAACCACGGCCGUACACACCACCCCGGUGGUUCGUGCUGGCUCGUGGUCGUGGCCAUCCGUGGCCCGGACAACGAACCCAAACGCCCAAUCAAUUCGUUUCUUGUGUAGCCGUUGAUUUGUAUCCGUUUAC
rnacentral:lncRNA from 1 species